UGCAGUGCCCAGAGGAAGCCCCAGAGCCCUGCCCAGGUUCUGGAGAGCAGUGAUUCUAUGGAAAGCUGGGUUACACUCGACAGUGACUCAAGUGGACAGGUCUGAACAGCAACUCAAGGCUUGACCUCCAUGGACGAUUUCCUUUGCCCACAGGAAGGGCUCCUCUUGGGAGAACUCAUCAAUAAAUACCCUGAUGCCAGAUGGUUUUCCUAGAAGUUACAGCUGUGGGGAGAAGAUGGAAAUUUCCUUAAAUACACAGCCAUGAUUCUGAACUGUGAACGUUUGUCACAGUCUUUGACUUGCUCGUGACAGGCAAGGAUGGCUGCGGGGCAUCUUCACAGUGAACGGGAGCUGACCCGGCAGCCUGGGCCCUCUAGGGCUGGCAUAGUUUCUUUGCUUGUGGGGCGACCAUCAUGGGGGGUCACAGACUUCAUUUUAUUUUACAAAUGUGUAACUACUAAACAUAGGAAGAACUGAAAAAAGUUACAACACUUCAGAACUAUAUUUAAAAUAAAGCUUGAUAAUUUGUCCAAUAAAGGAUUACUUCUGUCCGCUGAUUAAACAACUCUGCCUUAGAACUGCAUGACCUGAAGUCAUGGUAUCUGUACAUGUGUGUCAGUACCUUCCCUCAUGGAAGCUUCCCUCUGUAGGUUUUUUGAAGGGCAUGACCACACACAUUUGCUUUGCACUUAGGCUCCUUAUUUUGCAGUGGCCUGAGUUUUUAUAUGCCUAGGAAAGGAUUGAGUAAGAACUGCCUGUGAUUUGAGCUGUGGAAAAAAAUGAACUG